UUCUUUGCUGUUCCACUUCUUCUAACGCGCCAAGUCGGCCUCUGCUCCAGUCCCCAAGCCGGAGCCCUCCGGGAGGCCAGCCAACCAAGAUGAAGCCAGAGCAAGAAGUGGCGCGCCCUCCGUUGAUCUCUGUUAAGGGGAUCCCCAUGAUAAAGUAUUUUGCAGAAAUCUAUGAUGAAGUGGAGGGAUUCCAAGCACAUCCAGAUGACCUGCUGAUCUCGACAUACCCCAAGUCUGGAACCACCUGGGUCAGUGAGAUUGUAGACAUCAUCUACAAAGAAGGCAGUCUGGAAAAAUGCAGAGUUGAACCCAUCUACAUGCGAGUCCCUUUCUUGGAAUUUGCUGUACCUGAUGUCCCUACAGGCAUUGAAGUCCUCAAGAAAGCACCCCGUCCAUGUCUAAUUAAAACCCACCUUCCUGUCCAAAUGCUCCCAAAAUCCUUUUUGGAAAAGAACUGCAAGAUUAUCUAUGCGGCCAGGAAUGCCAAAGAUGUGGCUGUCUCGUAUUAUUACUUCUACCAAAUGGCAAAAGUGCACCCAGAGCCUGGAACAUGGGAGGAAUUUCUGGAGAAGUUUAUGGAUGGAAAUGUGUCUUUUGGAUCCUGGUAUGAUCACGUCAAAGGCUGGUGGGACAUAAGGAAGAAAUACAGGAUUCUGUACCUCUUCUAUGAAGAUAUGAAAGAGGCAAGACGCUUUCUGCUCUCUUCUUAUAUACACUGUCAUUCUCUGCUACUCCACUGUUCGCUUCUCCCCAUGUUAAGAAUUGGAUUAUGGGGUGCAGACCUCCUCCUGUUCUGCAAGUCUAAGUCUGAAAAACCCAAAGUUUGAUUAACUCCCCAAAUGGCCAACAGUCAGGUAGGAAUAGGACGUGACAUCUGUAGUGUCUCCAGGGCCAGAAAUUCCCAGUUCCUCAGAUUCCCUAGUCCAGCAUCCUGAUUUUACCAGAAGUGAAUUAGGUGCUUCUGAAAGCCUUCCUCAAGCUGAUGCUUUCUUAGUAUUUGGACAACAAUUCCAAUUAUGCUCAGCUAGAUUGGAGAAAGAGCCUUGCAGGGGGAGGGUUGUGUGAGGAAGAAAACAGUACAGAUUCGUCACCCCCAUUUCUUCUCUUCCAGAAGAGGAAGAGUUAGGCUUGAGUUGACUGCCAUCCCCAAACCUGGGUACUUUAUUGCUAAAUAGCAGAUGACGCCUUCUGAGAGUAGACCCAGGAAAUUAAGAACCAUGGCUUCUUUUGCUAACUUCAGGAGGCCUGCUUUACCUAAAUCAGAGCCAUCCCAGAGUUUGUAUUUCUCUUUUCUCACUUCCUCCAUGUUAAUCAUGUCCUCCAAGACCGUCACUUUAAGAUAUUAGAGAUCUUGUCAGAAAAUCCCCUCUUUCUUUCUCUCUGUGUUUCCUACUUCUCUCAGUAGACUCCUCAAAAUUCUGUAUUUUUUUAAUUAAGAAACUGUAUUUCUGUGAAUCCAGGAAGUCAGUUGAAUAUGUAGAAACCACUCCCUUAUUUUGGGAUAGCUCUGUUUUGCUUCCAGACUGAAAUCUGGUCAGCCAGAUGCUGCUCUAAAUGCUACUGGCUCAUAAUGGAAAUUCAUGGCUAAAGACUGUAUGCACAAGUGUGUACCUGCAAAGCAUCCUAAGGAAAUAGGAAGCAUUCUGGACUUAAUUAUAGCUAGACACCAGAUAGGUAAUAGCCUUCACAUUGCUUCAGGACAAUAUAUUUUAAUUUGUUUAAUAUAACUCAGUACACCACACUGUUCUUCCUAAUCCAACUUCCUGGCUUUCAGUCCUUGACUGUUGUUUGUACAUAGGAUCCCCAACGGGAGAUUCAGAAGAUAAUGGAAUUCCUAGAGAGGCCAGCUAAUGAGAACCUGGUCAAGAAGAUUGCACAGCAUACCUCCUUCAAAGAGAUGAGUCAGAACCAGAUGGCUAAUUACAGAAGCAUUCCCUCUUCAGUUAUGGAUCACACCAUCUCUCCUUUCAUGAGGAAAGGAGUUGCUGGUGACUGGAAGAACCAUUUCACAGUGGCACAAAAUGAGCGUUUCAAUGAGAAUUACAAGAUGCAAAUGGAAGGAACAACACUGCACUUUCGAACUGAGAUAUGAUUGUCCUUUUCCCCCUCCUUGGGUAUGCAUUCUUUCACUCACAUUAAAAUAACCCUAUGUAAUCUAUAAAUGUA